GGGCCUAUAGCUCAGCUGGUUAGAGCGCACGCCUGAUAAGCGUGAGGUC
rnacentral:tRNA from 1 species